rnacentral:lncRNA from 1 species
GGUAUAUUUUCCUGUAGGAGAUACUGGAACGGGUUGGUGCAUUAUAACUCGGAUUGCUAUUAGAGUUGUCUAAUGGUUAAUUUAGAGUUCUACAUAUUGAUACUCCAAGAGUAUAUUCAUGACUAGACAUGUCAUUCAGGUUGUCCAGGUAACCUAGGACUUGACUUAUGAGGGGGUCUCGAUAGUUAUAUUAGACAUACAGGUUCUCUAGGUUGGGUUGAUUAAGAUUUCGUUGGUUAAAGCGUUGUGGUAGAACCAUCCUUCCGAGGAGGUUACUUGGGAGUAUAAGAAAUGACAUGCAUAGAAAAUACCCGUAGCUGUUUGACAUUUGGAGUAUUGUUCUAGCCUCGUUCAUCCUCAUAUAGCAACUAAAAGAAAGCUAAAUCGAAUGGGAAUAGGAUAAAGAACACAUGAAGUUCAGAGAUAAAAAAAGAUUCUUAAAGCGAAAAGCCUGAAGACUGAUUGUCAUACUGAGAUGUAGUAACCUGUAGUUGAUGAGGACUCCUUUUGUCAUCAAGCAUCAAAAAGGAGAAUGAAAUAAGUGAACAGUCAAAGCCCACAAAACAAAAUUGAGAAGCAAAGAGUUUUAUAGAGUCAUCACAACCGUCUAAGCUUCUUCUGUGUUAGCUCUAUGUGAAGUUCAUUAAGUGAGCUCAUUUAAGAUCUUUCUGACGUGAAUGAAAGUCUUAAUAUAAUCAAUACUACAAGCUAAAACAUGUAGUGGGGCUUCCAAAAGGUUGGGGUGCACUUCUCUAGAAGAUGUACCGAGACAAGGCAAAUAAGAUUCAUCCGAAGUAAUUCCUUUACUUGAGAGUGAGGUAGAAAGGUGGGAGUUCGAGUCUUCCCAAGAGCAAGGUGGGAAAUUCUUGGAGGGAAGGAUGUCGGGGGUCUAUUUGGAAACAGUCUCUCAACCCAAGGGUAAGGGUAAGGUAUGCGUACACACUAG